rnacentral:tRNA from 1 species
UGGGGUGUAGCUAAGUGGUAGAGUGCUUGCCUAGCAUACACAAUGCCUGGGGUUCAAUCCCCAGCACUGCAA